rnacentral:lncRNA from 1 species
GUCUGGCCACACGUCUGUCCCCGGACGCUUCUCUCCCUCCMCCUACCUGCCCGUCUGUCUCUCCUUCCUGCCGCUUCGCUCCAUCCGUCCUUCCGCCCCUUCGCAGGCGCUUUGCCCAUCCAUCCACCCAUCUGUCCGUCCUUCCGUCCCUCCUCCUCCCUAUCCUCCCUCCCUGGAUUCUUCUGCGUGUCCACCCCCCGUCUGUCCGUUCAGCUGUCCAGCCCCAGGCACUCCUUUCCAGCCAUUCGCUGCUCUGUCCAUCCAUCCCCACUGCCCAACUCCAUCCGUUCACUGCCACUUCAUCUAGUGAAUCUAUCUAUCCAUCCAUCUCCUCUGCCUCAUCUCGCAUCCACCCAUCUGUCCCUCUGGCCACUCAUCGGUCCAUCCAUCUCUGCCUCUUUUCUCCCAUCCAUCCCUCUGUGUGUCCACUCGUGUGCCCAUCCGUCCACCUGUCUGUCCAUCUGCUUGCCUGUUCAUCCAUCCACCCAUCUGUCCAUCCACCCAUCUGUCCCCUGUCACUUUUCUCUAUCCAUCCACCUGUCUCUCCGUCCGUUUGUUCAUCACCCAUCCAUGUGGCCUUUUGUCCAUCCAUCUGUCCAUCCAUCCACUCAUCCAUCCACUCAUCCAUCCACUCAUCCAUCCAUCCAUCCCUGCCACUUUUCUCUAUCCAUCCACCUGUCUUUCCAUCCGUUUGUUCAUCACCCAUCCAUGUGGCCUUUUGUCCAUCCAUCCACUCAUCCAUCCACUCAUCCAUCCACUCAUCCAUCCGCUCAUCCAUCCAUCCAUCCAUCCCUGCCACUUUUCUCUAUCCAUCCACCUUUCUCUCCAUCCGUUUGUUCAUCACCCAUCCAUGUGACCUUUUGUCUGUCCAUCCACUCAUCCAUCCGCUCAUCCAUCUGCUCAUCCAUCCGCUCAUCCAUCCAUCCAUCCAUCCCUGCCACUUUUCUCUAUCCAUCCACCUGUCUCUCCAUCCGUUUGUUCAUCACCCAUCCAUGUGGCCUUUUGUCUGUCCAUGCACUCAUCCAUCCGCUCAUCCAUCCGCUCAUCCAUCCAUCCAUCCAUCCAUCCCUGCCACUUCUCUCUAUCCAUCCAUUUGUCUGUCCAUCUGUGCAUCCAUGCACCCAUCU